rnacentral:antisense_RNA from 1 species
CGUUGCGGUAGGGCGGGAGAGGGACACCUUCGGGUGUGCUGGGGUCGAACCAGUCUGUCAACCUUCUUUCGUUCUGCCACCAUA